UACGUAGGGUGCGAGCGUUAAUCGGAAUUACUGGGCGUAAAGCGUGCGCAGGCGGUUUUGUAAGCCAGAUGUGAAAUCCCCGGGCUUAACCUGGGAAUGGCAUUUGGGACUGCAAGGCUGGAGUGCGGCAGAGGAGACUGGAAUUCCUGGUGUAGCGGUGAAAUGCGCAGAUAUCAGGAGGAACACCGGUGGCGAAGGCGGGUCUCUGGGCCGAUACUGACGCUGAGGAGCGAAAGCGUGGGGAGCGAACAGG
rnacentral:rRNA from 1 species